rnacentral:rRNA from 1 species
UCCUACGGGAGGCAGCAGUGGGGAAUUUUGGACAAUGGGCGAAAGCCUGAUCCAGCAAUGCCGCGUGUGUGAAGAAGGCCUUCGGGUUGUAAAGCACUUUUGUCCGGAAAGAAAUCCUUGGCUCUAAUACAGUCGGGGGAUGACGGUACCGGAAGAAUAAGCACCGGCUAACUACGUGCCAGCAGCCGCGGUAAUACGUAGGGUGCGAGCGUUAAUCGGAAUUACUGGGCGUAAAGCGUGCGCAGGCGGUUUGCUAAGACCGAUGUGAAAUCCCCGGGCUCAACCUGGGAACUGCAUUGGUGACUGGCAGGCUAGAGUAUGGCAGAGGGGGGUAGAAUUCCACGUGUAGCAGUGAAAUGCGUAGAGAUGUGGAGGAAUACCGAUGGCGAAGGCAGCCCCCUGGGCCAAUACUGACGCUCAUGCACGAAAGCGUGGGGAGCAAACAGGAUUAGAUACCCUGGUAGUCCACGCCCUAAACGAUGUCAACUAGUUGUUGGGGAUUCAUUUCCUUAGUAACGUAGCUAACGCGUGAAGUUGACCGCCUGGGGAGUACGGUCGCAAGAUUAAAACUCAAAGGAAUUGACGGGGACCCGCACAAGCGGUGGAUGAUGUGGAUUAAUUCGAUGCAACGCGAAAAACCUUACCUACCCUUGACAUGGUCGGAAUCCCGCUGAGAGGUGGGAGUGCUCGAAAGAGAACCGGCGCACAGGUGCUGCAUGGCUGUCGUCAGCUCGUGUCGUGAGAUGUUGGGUUAAGUCCCGCAACGAGCGCAACCCUUGUCCUUAGUUGCUACGCAAGAGCACUCUAAGGAGACUGCCGGUGACAAACCGGAGGAAGGUGGGGAUGACGUCAAGUCCUCAUGGCCCUUAUGGGUAGGGCUUCACACGUCAUACAAUGGUCGGAACAGAGGGUUGCCAACCCGCGAGGGGGAGCUAAUCCCAGAAAACCGAUCGUAGUCCGGAUUGCACUCUGCAACUCGAGUGCAUGAAGCUGGAAUCGCUAGUAAUCGCGGAUCAGCAUGCCGC